rnacentral:rRNA from 1 species
AGCGAACGCUGGCGGCAGGCCUAACACAUGCAAGUCGAACGAAGCCUUCGGGCUUAGUGGCGGACGGGUGAGUAACACGUGGGAACGUACCUUUUGGUUCGGAACAACUCAGGGAAACUUGAGCUAAUACCGGAUGAGCCCUUAGGGGGAAAGAUUUAUCGCCGAAGGAGCGGCCCGCGUUAGAUUAGCUAGUUGGUGAGGUAAAGGCUCACCAAGGCUACGAUCUAUAGCUGGUCUGAGAGGAUGAUCAGCCACACUGGGACUGAGACACGGCCCAGACUCCUACGGGAGGCAGCAGUGGGGAAUCUUGCGCAAUGGGCGAAAGCCUGACGCAGCCAUGCCGCGUGAAUGAUGAAGGUCUUAGGAUUGUAAAAUUCUUUUACCAGGGACGAUAAUGACGGUACCUGGAGAAAAAGCCCCGGCUAACUUCGUGCCAGCCGCCGCCGUAACAC